CUUGUCUUAAAUUUCUUAUCUACUGCAUUACUGUAUCGUAUUAAUGCGGUUUCCUUUUCUCUGAUAUACAGGGACAUGUCGGAGAUGUCCGUUCUAUCUGUUGGGAUAUGAGCGGAAAUUUCCUGGCAUCCGUGAGCGAGGAUAGUGCACGGAUAUGGUGUGUUAGCGGAAGAAAGUGUUUACAUGAACUGCGCUCCAGUGGCAAUAAGUUCCAGUCAUGCACUUUUCACCCUGACCGCGCUCAAAUCUUGGACUGCGCUCAGAUUUGAUUAGAUUGGCCAAAUCAAGCAAUAAGUGUUUACAUGAACUGCGCUCAGAUUUGAUUUUGUUGAGGGAUACACACCAUUUACGUGGAAUGAGUUAUUUGAGUGGCUGUAUCACUACAGAAACAGUCACAAACUUUGAUUGCAUAGUUUCAAACUGUAGUUAAUCUUGACCAUUGUACUCUUCUGCCCUAUUUUAUUGUUUGUAUUUUGAAAUUGAAUUUAAAAUGUUUGUUUUUGUGUAUUAAAUACCUAAUAUAAAAAUUUAAUCAAUGGAUAAAAUAUCACAUCAAAAUUUAAAAUUGAAUAAUUAAAUGUACUUUACUUCUUAAAUUGGAAUGUUUAUAAAAUCAAUAUUAUUAGUUAAAAUGAUAUAUUUUAUUUUACAUACUUUUGAAUAUAACAUUAUAUCUCAUACAUUUAGGGAGUAGUAUUUAUUAGGUCUGAUUUGGGAAUUGGGAUUGUUUUAAUUUUUUUUUUUUUAAAUUACUACUUAUAAUUAUUCGAUAGGAUGUAACAGAAAUAGGAUCAAACGAUCAAUUCAAUAACCUGAUUGGGCCGAUUCAAUUUACCGGGUAUUCCCAUUACAAAUCCCAAAAUCUUCCUCAUUGCUCUCUUACUGCUUCUGGAGGUUAAUUAAUCCCAAUCAAAAACCCAGCACUCACAAAUCACAGACACACACAAAAUAUGGAGUUGAAAGAAUCGAGUAAAAGAGAAGAAGAAUCAUCAGCAAAAGCAGUACAGGUUGGAGCUUUGGCUCCUGGAAUCAACGGUCAUACUUGGUAUACGCUAAGGAGUUGCAUUUUUAAUGUUGGGUUUGUGUCUUGCUGUUAUAUUGGACUUGGCUUUUUCGUCAAGUACUUUUCUUCUUCUUAGCAGGGAACAACAGAUCUCUCCAACAAGCAUCUCAUCAAGGAUGGCCGUUAGUUG